AGUGAACGCUGGCGGUAGGCCUAACACAUGCAAGUCGAACGGCAGCACAGUAAGAGCUUGCUCUUACGGGUGGCGAGUGGCGGACGGGUGAGGAAUAUAUCGGAAUCUACUUUUUCGUGGGGGAUAACGUAGGGAAACUUACGCUAAUACCGCAUACGACCUACGGGUGAAAGCAGGGGAUCUUCGGACCUUGCGCGAUUGAAUGAGCCGAUGUCGGAUUAGCUAGUUGGCGGGGUAAAGGCCCACCAAGGCGACGAUCCGUAGCUGGUCUGAGAGGAUGAUCAGCCACACUGGAACGGAGACACGGUCCAGACUCCUACGGGAGGCAGCAGUGGGGAAUAUUGGACAAUGGUCGCAAGCCUGAUCCAGCCAUACCGCGUGGGUGAAGAAGGCCUUCGGGUUGUAAAGCCCUUUUGUUGGUAAAGAAAAGCAGCAGGUUAAUACCCCGCUGUUCUGACGGUACCCAAAGAAUAAGCACCGGCUAACUUCGUG
rnacentral:rRNA from 1 species